rnacentral:rRNA from 1 species
UGGCGUGUCGUCGAGCUCCGUGUCGUGAGAUGUUGGGUUAAGUCCCGCAACGAGCGCAACCCUUGUCACUAGUUGCCAUCAUUUGGUUGGGCACUCUAGUGAGACUGCCGGUGACAAACCGGAGGAAGGUGGGGAUGACGUCAAGUCCUCAUGGCCCUUAUGGGUAGGGCUUCACACGUCAUACAAUGGUCGGUACAGAGGGUUGCCAAACCGCGAGGUGGAGCCAAUCCCUUAAAGCCGAUCGUAGUCCGGAUCGUAGUCUGCAACUCGACUACGUGAAGUCGGAAUCGCUAGUAAUCGCGGAUCAGCAUGUCGCGGUGAAUACGUUCCCGGGUCUU